ACAAGCGGUGGAGCAUGUGGUUUAAUUCGACGCAACGCGAAGACCUUACCAAGGCUUGACAUACACCGGUAACGCCCAGAGAUGGGUGCCCCUUUGUGGUCGGUGGACAGGUGGUGCAUGGUUGUCGUCAGCUCGUGUCGUGAGAUGUUGGGUUAAGUCCCGCAACGAGCGCAACCCCUAUUGUUAGUUGCCAUCAUUCAGUUGGGCACUCUAGCGAGACUGCCGGUAAUAAACCGGAGGAAGUGGGAUGACGUCAAAUCAUCAUGCCCCUUAUGACCUGGGCUACACACGUGCUACAAUGGUUGGUACAACGAGUUGCGAGUCGGUGACGGCGAGCUAAUCUCUUAAAGCCAAUCUCAGUUCGGAUUGUAGGCUGCAACUCGCCUACAUGAAGUCGGAAUCGCUAGUAAUCGCGGAUCAGCACGCCGCGGUGAAUACGUUCCCGGGCCUU
rnacentral:rRNA from 1 species